rnacentral:rRNA from 1 species
AUUGAACGCUGGCGGCAUGCUUUACACAUGCAAGUCGAACGGUAACAGGCCGCAAGGUGCUGACGAGUGGCGAACGGGUGAGUAAUGCAUCGGAACGUGCCCAGUCGUGGGGGAUAACGCAGCGAAAGCUGUGCUAAUACCGCAUACGAUCUGUGGAUGAAAGCGGGGGACCUUCGGGCCUCGCGCGAUUGGAGCGGCCGAUGUCAGAUUAGGUAGUUGGUGGGGUAAAGGCUCACCAAGCCGACGAUCUGUAGCUGGUCUGAGAGGACGACCAGCCACACUGGGACUGAGACACGGCCCAGACUCCUACGGGAGGCAGCAGUGGGGAAUUUUGGACAAUGGGCGCAAGCCUGAUCCAGCAAUGCCGCGUGCAGGAAGAAGGCCUUCGGGUUGUAAACUGCUUUUGUACGGAGCGAAAAGGCUCUCUCUAAUACAGGGGGCUCAUGACGGUACCGUAAGAAUAAGCACCGGCUAACUACGUGCCAGCCGCCGCGGUAAGAC